UACGAAGGGAGCUAGCGUUGUUCGGAAUCACUGGGCGUAAAGCGCACGUAGGCGGAUGUGUCAGUCAGGGGUGAAAUCCCGGAGCUCAACUUCGGAACUGCCUUUGAUACAGCACGUCUUGAGUCCGAUAGAGGUGGGUGGAAUUCCUAGUGUAGAGGUGAAAUUCGUAGAUAUUCGCAGGAACACCAGUGGCGAAGGCGGCUUACUGGUCCAUAACUGACGCUGAUGCGCGAAAGCCAGGGAGCGAACGGG
rnacentral:rRNA from 1 species